rnacentral:sRNA from 1 species
GAGUGAGGCUGCGGGGACUCGCUGAGCAGCGGAGGGGGAGCGUGCAGAGCCGCUGCGGCCCUCACAGUCCGGAGCCCGGCCGUGCCGUGCCGUAGGGAACAUGCACUUUUCCAUUCCCGAAACCGAGUCCCGCAGCGGGGACAGCGGCGGCUCCGCCUACGUGGCCUAUAACAUUCACGUGAAUGGAGUCCUGCACUGUCGGGUGCGCUACAGCCAGCUCCUGGGGCUGCACGAGCAGCUUCGGAAGGAGUAUGGGGCCAAUGUGCUUCCUGCAUUCCCCCCAAAGAAGCUUUUCUCUCUGACUCCUGCUGAGGUAGAACAGAGGAGAGAGCAGUUAGAGAAGUACAUGCAAGCUGUUCGGCAAGACCCAUUGCUUGGGAGCAGCGAGACCUUCAACAGUUUCCUGCGUCGGGCACAACAGGUAGGGCUUUGGGUGGGACCAAGAUUUAAGGAAAGGACCUUGCUGGAAGGUCAUGUCUUUUAUUUUUUUGAGACAGAGUCUUGCUCUUUUGCACAGGCUGGAGUGCAGUGGUGCAAUCUCAGCUCACU